rnacentral:tRNA from 1 species
ACCAGGCUGGCCAACUUGGUAGGGCAUGUGACUCUUGAUCUCAGGGUCAUGAGUUCAAGCCCCGUGUUGGGUG